UUGUAGUAUGAAAGGAGAGACGUUUAGCACACCCCUAGCUAAGGAUGGAGCGCAUAUAUAAAUAAUAAAACACUAUCAUCUUUCGACGGCACUUACCAGAUUUUUUU